GUUCAAUUCAGAAUAUAGUUUAAGGUAGGGCCAAAGGACUAUUGCAUUGGACUCUGAGAGAAAGAAGUUAAAGACAAUAUCUAGCUUUUUUGCCUAAGAGCACGGAUGUAUAUAAAUACUGUAUACUGAAGUGAAGAAGGGAAAGGCAAGAGCAAAUUUUGAGGUUUAAGGAGGCACAAAUCCAGGUGUUCCCACAUUACCAAAUUACUACUCUGUAGUUUGAAAGGAAUGACAAUGACAUCCUGUUUCUGGUCAUGGCUAAUUUAGUAUACACUGCACCUGUAAAACUCCAGGCCAUCAACAUUUCAGGAAGGCUAUGUAAUCAAAGUGGUGACACUUACUACUGAGAAUUAUUGGUGACUUCCAGAGUACAGCACAAGCCCUCUCUCCACCUGACUUUCAAUUACAACAGAGGGUCAGAAGAGUCCAAUAAAGGCAGAACCUGAAGAUGUCUGUGGCUGCCUGCUGCUCCUCCUGCAAAUCAGAGCUCCCUGAACAUUCCUCUGUGUAGCCAAGAGGCAAAAUUUUAGCUCUGCCUCCUGAAAAAUCUCUUUGAUCCUCCCACAUUUACUUACGACAAAAUCCACCCUUCCCUCUUCCAACAGAGUUUUAACAUUUGCUUAUCCAUUUCUAUCAAUUAUUACGCAGACCACAGACUGCCAUAUACAGAAUUGGUAUAGAUACGAAAAAUAUCAUAUGCGGAGUGAGCGUUAGCUCAUUCAAACUUCUGAAGAAUUACUGAAAAUGACAUUACUUGACAGAAUGUCAGAAAUUUC
rnacentral:lncRNA from 1 species